rnacentral:rRNA from 1 species
GCUAAACGCGAAGAACCUUACCUGGUCUUGACAUCCCAGGAAUCCUGCAGAGAUGCGGGAGUGCCCGAAAGGGAAUUGGAACACAGGUGCUGCAUGGCUGUCGUCAGCUCGUGUCGUGAGAUGUUGGGUUAAGUCCCGCAACGAGCGCAACCCUUGUCCUUAGUUGCCAGCGAGUAAUGUCGGGAACUCUAAGGAGACUGCCGGUGACAAACCGGAGGAAGGUGGGGAUGACGUCAAGUCCUCAUGGCCCUUACGGCCAGGGCUACACACGUACUACAAUGGUCGGUACAGAGGGUUGCCAAACCGCAAGGUGGAGCCAAUCCCAGAAAGCCGAUCCCAGUCCGGAUCGGAGUCUGCAACUCGACUCCGUGAAGUCGGAAUCGCUAGUAAUCGCGGAUCAGCUAUGCCGCGGUGAAUACGUUCCCGGGUCUUGUACACACCG